UUUAGGUAGAGUUAUAGUUGCUCUUCAGGAGCCUUCAAUCAAUUUAAUUCCCAUGGUUUGACAUACAAAAGAAAGUAUACGAACAUGAGAAUAAGUAAAUUCAAUCCGUUUGUUUCAUAUUUAAACAAUAUUUUCGAAAUCUGUUGAGGUUAUUCGACUAACUUAGUUGAUAGUCGACUAAUUUUGGGAAGCAGUCAUUUAGGUUAG
rnacentral:lncRNA from 1 species